UACGGAGGGGGCUAGCGUUGUUCGGAAUUAUUGGGCGUAAAGGGUGCGUAGGCGGUUUGGUAAGUCUUAUGUGAAAUCUACAGGCUCAACUUGUAGUCUGCAUGAGAAACUGCCGGGCUUGAGUAUGGGAGAGGUGAGUGGAAUUCCUGGUGUAGCGGUGAAAUGCGUAGAUAUCAGGAGGAACACCUGUGGCGAAAAGCGGCUCACUGGACCAUAACUGACGCUGAUGCACGAAAGCUAGGGGAGCAAACAGG
rnacentral:rRNA from 1 species